rnacentral:rRNA from 1 species
UACGUCGGGUGCCCGCUUUCCUCUUCCUUCCUUUUCUUCCCUCUUUCUCCUUCUUUUUUUUAAUCCAUAUUUUAAAUCCCCGGGCUUAACCUGGGAAUGGCAUUUGGGACUGCAAGGCUUGAGUUUGGCAGAGGAGACUGGAAUUCCUGGUGUAGCAGUGAAAUGCGCAGAUAUCAGGAGGAACACCAAUGGCGAAGGCAGCUCGCUGGGACGUGACUGACGCUGAGACGCGAAAGCGUGGGGAGCAAACAGG